rnacentral:rRNA from 1 species
GGGCCCGCACAAGCGGUGGAGCAUGUGGUUUAAUUCGAUGCAACGCGAAGAACCUUACCAGGUCUUGACAUCCUGAGAAUCCUGUAGAGAUACGGGAGUGCCUUCGGGAAUUCAGUGACAGGUGCUGCAUGGCUGUCGUCAGCUCGUGUUGUGAAAUGUUGGGUUAAGUCCCGUAACGAGCGCAACCCUUGUCCUUAGUUGCCAGCACGUAAAGGUGGGAACUCUAAGGAGACUGCCGGUGACAAACCGGAGGAAGGUGGGGACGACGUCAAGUCAUCAUGGCCCUUACGACCUGGGCUACACACGUGCUACAAUGGACGGUACAGAGGGCAGCAACCCAGCGAUGGUGAGCGAAUCCCUUAAAACCGUUCGUAGUCCGGAUUGGAGUCUGCAACUCGACUCCAUGAAGUCGGAAUCGCUAGUAA